rnacentral:rRNA from 1 species
AACGAACGCUGGCGGCAUGCCUAACACAUGCAAGUCGAACGAGACCUUCGGGUCUAGUGGCGCACGUGUGCGUAACGCGUGGGAACCUGCCCUUAGGUUCGGAAUAACUCCCCUAAAGGUGUCCUAAGACCGGAUAAUGUCUUCGGACCAAAGACUUAUCGCCGUUGGCUGGGCCCGCGUUGGAUUAGCUAGUUGGUAGGGUAAAAGCAUACCAAGGAGACGUUCCAUAGCUGGUCUGGGAAGAUGACCAGCCGCACUGGGACUGAGACCCGGACCAGAACCCUACGCAAGGGAGCGGUAGGGAAUAUUGGAGAAGGAGCGCAGGCCUGACAAAGCAAUGCCGGGGAAGUGAUGCAGGCGUUAGGGUUGUAAUGUCCUUUUACACGAGAUGAUAAUGACAGUACCGGGUAAAUAAGCACCGGCUAACUACGUG